rnacentral:rRNA from 1 species
UACGUAGGGCGCAAGCGUUGUCCGGAAUUAUUGGGCGUAAAGAGCUCGUAGGCGGCUUGUCACGUCGAUUGUGAAAGCCCGAGGCUUAACCUCGGGUCUGCAGUCGAUACGGGCUAGCUAGAGUGUGGUAGGGGAGAUCGGAAUUCCUGGUGUAGCGGUGAAAUGCGCAGAUAUCAGGAAGAACACCCGUGGCGAAGGCGGCUCUCUGGAACGCAACUGACGCUGAGACGCGAAAGCGUGGGGAGCAAACAGG